UACGUAGGGUGCAGGCGUUAAUCGGAAUUACUGGGCGUAAAGAGUGUGUAGGCGGUGUUCUAAGUCUGUCGUGAAAUCUCCCGGCUUAACUGGGAGGGUGCGGCGGAAACUGGAAUGCUAGAGGAUGGGAGAGGUAAGCGGAAUUCCUGGUGUAGCGGUGAAAUGCGUAGAUAUCAGGAGGAACACCUGUGGUGUAGACAGCUUACUGGACCAUUUCUGACGCUGAGACACGAAAGCGUGGGUAGCAAACAGG
rnacentral:rRNA from 1 species